UACGUAGGGAGCAAGCGUUGUUCGGAUUUACUGGGCGUAAAGGGCGCGUAGGCGGCAUAUUAAGUCAUCUGUGAAAUCUCCGAGCUUAACUCGGAACUGUCAGCUGAUACUGAUGUGCUAGAGUGCGGAAGGGGCAAUCGGAAUUCUUGGUGUAGCGGUGAAAUGCGUAGAUAAUCAAGAGGAACACCUGAGGUGAAGACGGGGUUGCUGGGCCGACACUGACGCUGGAGUGCGCGAAAGCCAGGGGAGCAAACGGGAUUAGAGUACCC
rnacentral:rRNA from 1 species